UACGUAGGGACCGAGCGUUGUCCGGAUUCAUUGGGCGUAAAGAGCUCGUAGGCGGCUGCUCAAGUCGAAUGUGAAAACUCGAGGCUCAACCUCGAGACGUCGGCGGAAACCAUCUGGCUAGAGUCCGGAAGAGGAGAGUGGAAUUCCUGGUGUAGCGGUGAAAUGCGCAGAUAUCAGGAAGAACACCCGUGGCGAAGGCGGCUCUCUGGGACGGUACUGACGCUGAGACGCGAAAGCGUGGGGAGCGAACAGG
rnacentral:rRNA from 1 species